AGAACCAGGUAGGAGAUGCUCCUGAGGAGUCUUCCUGCUGCCAGGUCAAGGCUAAAUGCUAGGACAAUGGAGGAAGGACUUGCAGAGGCUAUUGAUGAGGGGAGAAUUGGGCCUCGGGAUGAUUCCAAGGUACAUGAACCAUACAGGAAGGGAAAACCCAAAUGGGAAACAAGUAUUCUUUGCCACCACAACCAGGCGCGACGUUGGUGGCGAC